rnacentral:rRNA from 1 species
AGGAUAAACGCUGGCGGCGUGCCUAACACAUGCAAGUCGAACGCGCUUUCGGGCUUCGGUGCGAGAGCGAGUGGCGGACGGGUGAGUAACACAUGGGUACCUGCCUUUCAGUGAGGGAUACCGGCGAGAAAUCGCCGACAAUACCGCAUGGGCUUGUGGGAACACAAGCAAAGUGGCGCAAGCCACGCUGGAAGAUGGGCCUGUGGCCGAUUAGCUAGUUGGGGGGGUAAUGGCCUCCCAAGGCGACGAUCGGUAGCUGGUCUGAGAGGACGAUCAGCCACACUGGGAUUGAGAACGGCCCAGACUCCUACGGGGGGCAGCAGUGAGGAAUUUUCCGCAAUGGACGAAAGUCUGACGGAGCAACGCCGCGUGCAGGAGGAAGGUUUCGGAUCGUAAACUGCUUUUCGUCGGGGACGAGCAAGGGACGGUACCCGGAGGAAGAACGCCCCGGCUAACGUACGCGCCAGCAGCCGC